GGGCUGGGCGGCAGCUACACAUGCAGUCGAGCGGAUGACAGGAGCUUGCUCCUGAAUUCAGCGGCGGACGGGUGAGUAAUGCCUAGGAAUCUGCCUGGUAGUGGGGGACAACGUUUCGAAAGGAACGCUAAUACCGCAUACGUCCUACGGGAGAAAGCAGGGGACCUUCGGGCCUUGCGCUAUCAGAUGAGCCUAGGUCGGAUUAGCUAGUUGGUGAGGUAAUGGCUCACCAAGGCGACGAUCCGUAACUGGUCUGAGAGGAUGAUCAGUCACACUGGAACUGAGACACGGUCCAGACUCCUACGGGAGGCAGCAGUGGGGAAUAUUGGACAAUGGGCGAAAGCCUGAUCCAGCCAUGCCGCGUGUGUGAAGAAGGUCUUCGGAUUGUAAAGCACUUUAAGUUGGGAGGAAGGGCAGUAAAUUAAUACUUUGCUGUUUUGACGUUACCGACAGAAUAAGCACCGGCUAACUCUGUGCCAGCAGCCGCGGUAAUACAGAGGGUGCAAGCGUUAAUCGGAAUUACUGGGCGUAAAGCGCGCGUAGGUGGUUCGUUAAGUUGGAUGUGAAAUCCCCGGGCUCAACCUGGGAACUGCAUUCAAAACUGUCGAGCUAGAGUAUGGUAGAGGGUGGUGGAAUUUCCUGUGUAGCGGGUGAAAUGCGUAGAUAUAGGAAGGAACACCAGUGGCGAAAGCGACCACCUGGACUGAUACUGACACUGAGGUGCGAAACGUGGGGAGCAAACAGGAUUAGAUACCCUGGGUAGUCCACGCCGGUAAACCAUGUCACUAGCCGUUGGGAGCCUUUGAGCUCUUAAUGGCGCAGCUAACGCAUUAAUUGAACGCCUGGGG
rnacentral:rRNA from 1 species